rnacentral:tRNA from 2 species
GCCGCUUUAGCUUAGUUGGUGGAGCGUGGGACUGUUAAUCCCAAGGUCACAGGUUCAAGCCCUGUAAGCGGCGCCA